rnacentral:rRNA from 1 species
GUGGGGAAUAUUGGACAAUGGGCGAAAGCCUGAUCCAGCCAUGCCGCGUGUGUGUAGAAGGUCUUCGGAUUGUAAAGCACUUUAAGUUGGGAGGAAGGGCAGUAAGUUAAUACCUUGCUGUUUUGACGUUACCGACAGAAUAAGCACCGGCUAACUUCGUGCCAGCAGCCGCGGUAAUACGAAGGGUGCAAGCGUUAAUCGGAAUUACUGGGCGUAAAGCGCGCGUAGGUGGUUUUGUAAGUUGGAGGUGAAAUCCCCGGGCUCAACCUGGGAACUGCCUCCAAAACUGCAUGACUAGAGUACGGUAGAGGGUAGUGGAAUUUCCUGUGUAGCGGUGAAAUGCGUAGAUAUAGGAAGGAACACCAGUGGCGAAGGCGACUACCUGGACUGAUACUGACACUGAGGUGCGAAAGCGUGGGGAGCAAACAGGAUUAGAAACCCCAGUAGUCC